rnacentral:rRNA from 1 species
UGCGUAGGCGGGCUAAUAAGUCAGUGGUGAAAUCUUCCGGCUCAACCGGGAACCUGCCAUUGAUACUGUUAGUCUUGAGUACGGCUGAGGUAGGCGGAAUGUGUAAUGUAGCGGUGAAAUGCUUAGAUAUUACACAGAACACCAAUUGCGUAGGCAGCUUACUAGACCGUAACUGACGCUGAGGCACGAAAGCGUGGGGAGCGAACAGGAUUAGAUACCCUGGUAGUCC